AACAUCAAGAUAGAGUCAACAAAGUUUUCUUUCAAAUGCCUGCAGGUACGUGGUGCGGCGCAUCCGGGCUGCAGUGAGAAGGGGAGAGCAGCCAGAGAAGCCCACCGCAGCAUGUAGCCAGGCCAAGGGUGAGUGGGCUCAGCUGGGGCAAGAGGAGGCCUGGAGGUCCUUGGGCUCUGGGGCAUGGAAGGAGGAGGGUAUGCAGAAGAAUGGACAGGUGGAGCCGAUGUUCAAACCCCUGGUAACGGAGCCGGAACCAGGCCUGAAGGUGGCAGAGUGGGCCUCUGGUGAAUGACGUUAGAGAGGGCUGGAUAGAAAACAGGAGAGAGUGUGGAGGAAGGGAUGAGAGGAACAACUGUGUAAAAGAUGCACUGACUCAGUUGCAUUAUUAUCUGUAUCCUGUAAGACUAUAGCAGCAACCUCAUAUGUUGUCCUAUCACAUGCUAUGGAGAGACGCCCACUGCAUUAACUAAUCCUUGCUAAUGCCAUGUCAGUAUGAGGAGUUACAUGUACUGCAUGUUUUCUCUGGCUCAGUAUGAAAUUGUAUGACACUGACCUUGCACAUACAGAUGCAUUCACCUGCUAAUACAACGGAUCACAUUUACUGUGGAAAAAUUCACACAUUAGGUGCACACACACACACACACACACACACACACACACACACACACACACACACACACACACACACACACACACACACACACACACACGCACACACACACUCUCCCCCUCCCACUCCACUCCUGUGGCCAGGUCUCUGUCCUUUGGGGUAGUCGAAGGUCAGAGUGAAAGAGUAACAAGCAGUAGCAGGCAACGAAGAGAAUGAUUGCCUGGACAUCAAUUCCCCACCUGAGGAAAUGCCCAGGCAGGAAGACAAAAACAAACCUUCUGCUGUUAAUAAAGAUACUGCCUCUAUUUCUUCACUGUAUUCUGGGAGAUGUGUAUUUUCAGUAAACAAAGUACUCUUGCCCCCAGUGUGUUUCUGGGUUUCAUCAAUCAUUCUUUAAACAUUGAGCAGCAAAGAGCACACACAGCACAUGGCUUCUAUAAUACAUAUCAGGAUUAUUGUUUAAUAAUGUGUUGAAGUAAAAAAAAAUAAUCACUCUCACACACUCACAUAGUAUACACACUCACACUCACUCUAUCUCCCUCCCUCCCUCUGUCUCUCUCAUUCUCCCUCUCGGACACAGCAUUUUUUAUCAGUUGCAUGCUUAGAGGAAAUACAACAUAUGA
rnacentral:lncRNA from 1 species